GGCCGAAAGGCGUAGUCGAUGGGAAACGGGUUAAUAUUCCCGUACUUGGUGUUACUGCGAAGGGGGGACGGAGAAGGCUAUGUUGGCCGGGCGACGGUUGUCCCGGUUUAAGCGUGUAGGUGUGUGUUCCAGGUAAAUCCGGUUCACUUUAACACUGAGGCGUGACGACGAGGCACUACGGUGCUGAAGCAACAAAUGCCCUGCUUCCAGGAAAAGCCUCUAAGCAUCAGGUAACACGAAAUCGUACCCCAAACCGACACAGGUGGUCAGGUAGAGAAUACCAAGGCGCUUGAGAGAACUCGGGGGAAGGAACUAGGCAAAAUGGUGCCGUAACUUCGGGAGAAGGCACGCUGACACG
rnacentral:rRNA from 1 species